AGAUUGAACGCUGGCGGCAGGCUUAACACAUGCAAGUCGAGCGGUAACAUUUCUAGCUUGCUAGAAGAUGACGAGCGGCGGACGGGUGAGUAAUGCUUGGGAAUAUGCCUUAUGGUGGGGGACAACAGUUGGAAACGACUGCUAAUACCGCAUAACGUCUACGGACCAAAGGGGGGGAUCUUCGGACCUCUCGCCAUUUGAUUAGCCCAAGUGAGAUUAGCUAGUAGGUGAGGUAAAGGCUCACCUAGGCGACGAUCUCUAGCUGGUUUGAGAGGAUGAUCAGCCACACUGGGACUGAGACACGGCCCAGACUCCUACGGGAGGCAGCAGUGGGGAAUAUUGCACAAUGGGCGAAAGCCCGAUGCAGCCAUGCCGCGUGUGUGAAGAAGGCCUUCGGGUUGUAAAGCACUUUCAGUUGUGAGGAAAGGUGGUAGUUUAAUAUGCUAUCACUGUGACGUUAACAACAGAAGAAGCACCGGCUAACUUCGUGCCAGCAGCCGCGGUAAUACGAGGGGUGCAAGCGUUAAUCGGAAUUACUGGGCGUAAAGCGUUCGUAGGCGGUCUAUUAAGCAAGAUGUGAAAGCCCAGGGCUCAACCUUGGAACUGCAUUUUGAACUGGUAGACUAGAGUACUGUAGAGGGUGGUGGAAUUUCCAGUGUAGCGGUGAAAUGCGUAGAGAUUGGAAGGAACAUCAGUGGCGAAGGCGGCCACCUGGACAGAUACUGACGCUGAGGAACGAAAGCGUGGGGAGCGAACAGGAUUAGAUACCCUGGUAGUCCACGCCGUAAACGAUGUCAACUAGCCGUUUGUGGACUUGAUCCGUGAGUGGCGCA
rnacentral:rRNA from 1 species